UACGGAGGAGGCAAGCGUUAUCCGGAAUUAUUGGGCGUAAAGCGUCCGCAGGUGGCACCUCAAGUCUGCUGUCAAAGACCGGGGCUUAACCCCAGAAAGGCAGUGGAAACUGAAGUGCUAGAGUGCAGUAGGGGUAGAGGGAAUUCCCGGUGUAGCGGUGAAAUGCGUAGAGAUCGGGAAGAACAUCGGUGGCGAAGGCGGCUCUCUGGACCACAACUGACGCUGAGGCGCGAAAGCUAGGGGAGCAAACAGG
rnacentral:rRNA from 1 species